rnacentral:pre_miRNA from 1 species
CGUUAAAGUUAACUGUUAAAGUUGAUUGCCUCUAAUUUUUUUUAGUUAAAGUCAUCAUGUGUCAUAACCUCGGAGUGAUAUGUGGCAAAAAAAUUAUAAAAACUAUUAAAAAUCAUAAAAAUUAUUAAAAUUUAGUAAAAAAUAUAAAAAAUUUAAAAUUUAUUAAAAAUUAGAAAAAAAAUGUAAAAACAGUAAAAAAAUUAGGGACAAUUAACUUUAACGGUCAAAUGUUAAAG